rnacentral:rRNA from 1 species
UUGGAGGGCAAGUCUGGUGCCAGCAGCCGCGGUAAUUCCAGCUCCAAUAGCGUAUAUUAAAGUUGUUGCAGUUAAAAAGCUCGUAGUUGAAUUUCGGGAUCAAUAUUUCGGUCAUGCCGUUGGUAUGCACUGUUAUCAUUGAUUUCUCACCUUCUAAAGAACCGUAAUGCCAUUAAUUUGGUGUUACGGGGAAUUAGGACUGUUACCUUGAAAAAAUUAGAGUGUUCAAAGCAGGCUCACGCUUGAAUACAUUAGCAUGGAAUAAUGAAAUAGGACAUCCGAUUCUAUUUUGUUGGUUUCUAGGAUCGAUGUAAUGAUUAAUAGGGAUAGUUGGGGGCACUAGUAUUCAAUUGUCAGAGGUGAAAUUCUUGGAUUUAUUGAAGACUAACUACUGCGAAAGCAUUUGCCAAGGAUGUUUUCAUUAAUCAAGAACGAAAGUUAGGGGAUCGAAGACGAUCAGAUACCGUCGUAGUCUUAACCAUAAACUAUGCCGACUAGGGAUCGGAUGAUGUUAAUUUUUUAAUGACUCAUUCGGCGCCUUACGGGAAACCAAAGUGUUUGGGUUC